CUACGGGAGGCUCCAGUGGGGAAUAUUGGACAAUGGGCGCAAGCCUGAUCCAGCAAUGCCGCGUGAGUGAAGACGGCCUUAGGGUUGUAAAACUCUUUCGCUAGGGAAGAUAAUGACUGUACCUAGUAAAGAAGUCCCGGCUAACUCCGUGCCAGCAGCCGCGGUAAUACGGAGGGGACUAGCGUUGUUCGGAAUUACUGGGCGUAAAGAGUUCGUAGGCGGACUGACAAGUUAGAGGUGAAAUCCCAGGGCUCAACCCUGGAACUGCCUUUAAAACUGUCAGUCUAGAGACCGGAAGAGGUUAGGGGAAUACCUAGUGUAGAGGUGAAAUUCGUAGAUAUUAGGUGGAACACCAGUGGCGAAGGCGCCUAACUGGUCCGGUACUGACGCUGAGGAACGAAAGCGCGGGGAGCAAACAGGAUUAGAUACCCUUGUAGUC
rnacentral:rRNA from 1 species